rnacentral:rRNA from 1 species
ACUCGAGUCUUUGACGCAGUUGCGCCCGAAGCCACUAGGCCGAGGGCACGCCUGCCUGGGUGUCACACAUCGUCAUCCCCAUGCAAACGCGCAUCGGGGCGAAAGCUGGCCUCCCACGAGUCAACCAUCGUGGUUGGUCGAAAACCAAGGUAAUGUCGGGGUCCCCCCGCGAGAAACGGUGGAUGAGCAAACGCUCGAGACCAAUCGUGGAGACUCGACAAUCCAAUUGAUCGGCCCUAUUGCAUUCUUUGCAGAAAGCAAAGAUGCUCUUAAUGAGACCUCAGGUCAGGCGGGGCUACCCGCUGAGUUUAAGCAUAUCAAUAAGCGGAGGAAAAGAAACUAACAAGGAUUCCCUUAGUAACGGCGAGCGAACCGGGAACAGCCCACCAUGAGAAUCGGUCGCCCUUGGCGUUCGAAUUGUAGUUAA